GAAGAAUUUAAAUGAAUCAAUUAAUUGCUUUUUGUCAUUGUUAUUGUUUAGUAACUCAGUAAGUGGUUUGGGGAUAAGAGGCUAAUUAAAAUGAAGGGAUACAAUGACACUGUACAAUUAUCUGAAGAUGUCAAUUUUUAAAUUCUACUCUUACACCCAUAAAAAGCAAGUUAGUCAGUGAACUCUCCAGGUGCUUGUAAUAGAACAGCUAACUCAUGUGCCGAAUCAGCAGCUUCAAGGUCAUAAAUGGUUGUUCCCAGAGUAAUUAAUAAACGGUCAAUGUGAUUUGAAAUGAGGAGCUCUCUUGGUCGUCAAGAUAAGCAGUUUUGACUGUCCACAUGUGAGCUCAUUAAUUGCUAAGGGAUCACCUUACAAAUAACAAGAAAUCUUCCUGAUGGGUAUACUAAAUCUGGUCACCUGGGCAUUACUCUGAUGUGUGCCCCUGCCUGGCUGAUGGGUGAUGAGCGGAUGACAUCCAGGCCAGCACCUCAAGUAUGCUCUUCAGUAAAUAGAGGUUUGAUUUAGUUGAAAUUGUACCAUUUGAUCUGUUCUCAGGUGCUUUGGAGGCCAAUGCAUCCAGCAUGAUUUCCAUAAAGAACACAUAUUUUGAAGAGCAAACCACCAACUGGCAAAUUAAAUUGUGAGAGACGAUCAUUGAAAACUACGGAUUUCUUUUGUUUUUGUUGGAAGGGCACAGGGCUUUGGUAACUGAAGCCUGAGUUUUUGUUCUUGAUUCUAAAGGUCUCUUUGGUAAAAGCAGGCGACUUCAGGGCAGCUUUUGCUAAUGCCACUCUUUCUGCUUCUUCACUAGCAAUGUUACAAUUCGUUCAUCAGAACAGGACUCAACUUUACCAUGGCCUCACUCCCCACUCAUGUGGGGCUUGUAGACGUGUCACAGACUAGACAGCAUCGUUCUCCCUUUAUAACACCCAGGGUGGGCAGAGGCUGGGUGUGUGUUGUAUGUGUGCGUGGGGGGUGGGGUGGGGAGAGAAAUAGUUGUUACUACUCAGAGAAGGCUGGGGCUGUUUACUUAGGAUGUAAUAAUUCUCCUUGUGGUAUUCUGGACUUGAGAGUGGGUGGAACAAUUUGGCUCUGACAAUGAACGAGUGACCUCUUCAGCCCUAAAUUUUUACUCACGUAACUUUGCCCAGUUGUCUAAAUGAAAAUGGAAAAGCUGCAGAAUGAUAAACCUGGCUACAGUCCUGGAAACAAUAAAUGACAAAUCCUAAUACUGCAAAGCCAUCUUUACUUCUGGGAAAUUAUCGAGUGCUAUUUAUCGUGAACCCUAAGAGGGCGGAGUGCGUACCUGGUACCAGAAACAGAAAAUAAGCUCAAAGAAGAGGUCUUGAAUGAAUGAUGUUUAAAUUAAUGAAGGAAUCAAUGGAGAAGAAACAGAAUGACAAGAAUUUAAAGAUUAUGAGGCAUUUUGGUAAAGGGCAGAAGCACAUUUCUAAAGUCAAGGCAACAAUCUUGCUGAGGGCUGCCUGCUUCCUUGUGGGUCUUCGUUAUGGUCUAUCUACCUACGUGACCAGUCUGGACAGCAAGUAUUUAUUGAGAAGUUACUACAUUCAAGGCCCUGUACAUGGGUAGGAAUAAUCUGGAUGAGGAGCUCAUAGACCAAUAUCCAGUUAUAUCCUGAACUAAAGUGAAUGACUGUACUGAGGCUCUCUACCCCUAGGACCAGACUCUAUUACCCCACCCAAAUGUGCAUGGAAUAAUGGUAUGAAAAAUGGUCCCAAAACUCCUGUUGUGGAGGAAACUGUCUUGUGGGGGGAAAAUAUAUUCUUGCGAGGAGUUCAAGGAAAGCAACUCAUGCAAGUGUGCUCAUUCUUAGCAGUUUGCCUUGGGAAAGUCAACUUUACCUCUCCAUGUCUGACUUUUCUCCUCUGUACAAAUGUACAGAGAAGAAAGAAAAUCAGAAGAUUGAGUCUUACUGUCCUGACAGGUAUCCUGAGAUGUGUUAUCUUAAGGGAACGCUUUUCUCGAACAGAAAAGAACUUCCAACUAAUACGGCUACUUCUAAGGUAAGGCUGUGUACUGCUUUUGAUAGCAGGGAUAGGACAAUAUACAAAGUCCCCGCUGGGCCAUGUGAUUAGUCUUUUCAGCCCAUGGCUUUCGAGUGCUUCUCCUUAUCUCCCAUUACACCUCUCUGUGACAUUCCAUUGUUCAUACUUGGGGGAUAUGGGAGGAAAGGGAUUUCAUUCAUUCAUUUAUCAAAUACUUGCAUUUUUCUAUGUGCCGUGGAUUUUUUACUCACAAUGAAUACAAAGGUGAACAUGGCAAAUUGCUAGUUUUCUAAUUUUCAACUUCGGUCAGCCUAUUGUAUUCUGAGGCAUCUCUAUGAAACAUGUAAUAACUAGUAAAAUCAUAGUUUUUCAUCUAAAGAACCGUCCCUUGUCUCUUUUGUAUCUGGAUUGGUGAAAUCAGGUAAGCUAGCCUGUACUCAAGUGUGGGAUUCUCUCCUUCUCUUCCUUGAUGUUUAAAGAUGGUCAACACUUUGGUUUUGGCCGCCUUUCAAAAGAGGCUGUCUCUCCAUCUCACACUAAAUGUGAGUUAUUGACCUUCCUCUCACAAUCCUGCUCCCCUCUCAGCCUUCCCUAUCUUGGGUGAUGGCCACUUCAUUCUUCCAACUUGUGGGCCAAAUCCUUGAAGUGGGUCCUUGACCCUUCUCUUUCUCUGACACCUUACAUCCAAUCUGUCAGGAAACCUCCCUUGCCUCUACCUUCCACAUGCAUCUGGAACCUGAUCUCUGCUCCCUACCUCUCUGCUACCUCUCUGGCUCAAACUGCCAUCUUGCGUCUAGGGUAGGACUGGAGCUUCCUAUAAAGUCUCCCUCCUUCCACCUUUG